AUUGAACGCUGGCGGCAGGCCUAACACAUGCAAGUCGAGAGGUAGAGAGAAGCUUGCUUCUCUUGAGAGCGGCGGACGGGUGAGUAAUGCCUAGGAAUCUGCCUAGUGGUGGGGGAUAACGUUCGGAAACGGACGCUAAUACCGCAUACGUCCUACGGGAGAAAGCGGGGGAUCUUCGGACCUCGCGCCAUUAGAUGAGCCUAGGUCGGAUUAGCUAGUUGGUGAGGUAAUGGCUCACCAAGGCGACGAUCCGUAACUGGUCUGAGAGGAUGAUCAGUCACACUGGAACUGAGACACGGUCCAGACUCCUACGGGAGGCAGCAGUGGGGAAUAUUGGACAAUGGGCGAAAGCCUGAUCCAGCCAUGCCGCGUGUGUGAAGAAGGUCUUCGGAUUGUAAAGCACUUUAAGUUGGGAGGAAGUGCAGUAACCUAAUACGUUAUUGUUUUGGCGUUACCGACAGAAUAAGCACCGGCUAACUUCGUGCCAGCCGCCGCGGUAACAC
rnacentral:rRNA from 1 species